GCCCAGGUGGUGGAAUGGAAGACGCGCUACGUUCAGACCGUAGUGGCCGCAAGGCUGUGAGGGUUCGAGUCCCUCUCUGGGCACCA
rnacentral:tRNA from 1 species